rnacentral:rRNA from 1 species
CCCUUAGAUGUCCUGGGCCGCACGCGCGCUACACUGAUGCAUUCAACGAGUUUUACCUUGGCCGAGAGGCCUGGGCAAUCUUUUAAACCUGCAUCGUGAUAGGGAUAGAUUAUUGCAAUUAUUAAUCUUGAACGAGGAAUUCCUAGUAAACGCAGAUCAUCAAUCUGCAUUGAUUACGUCCCUGCCCUUUGUACACACCGCCCGUCGCACCUACCGAUUGAAUGGUCCGGUGAAGCCUCGGGAUUGUGGCCAGUUCACUUUAUUGGGAGUUGGCUGCGAGAACGUGUCUAAACCUUAUCAUUUAGAGGAAGGUGAAGUCGUAACA